AUAAAAGGAACGAUCGUUGUGAUAUGUUUCUUUUUUAUAGACAUAUCACAGUGAUUUUCCUUUAUAUUG
rnacentral:pre_miRNA from 1 species